GAUAAACGCUGGCGGCGUGCCUAAUGCAUGCAAGUCGCACGGAGUCAUCUUUCGGGGUGAUUGAGUGGCGAGCGGGUGAGGAACGCGUGGACAACCUACCCCGGCGUGGGGGAUACCCGCCAGAAAUGGCGGCUAAUACCGCGUACGGUCCAGGGGCGAUGGGCUCCCUGGAAGAAAGCAGUGAUGCGCGCUGGGAGGGGUCUGCGGCCGAUUAGCUGGUUGGCGGGGUAACGGCCCACCAAGGCGAUGAUCGGUAGCUGGUCUGAGAGGAUGAUCAGCCACACGGGGACUGAGACACGGCCCCGACUCCUACGGGAGGCAGCAGCAAGGAAUUUUCCGCAAUGGGGGCAACCCUGACGGAGCAACGCCGCGUGACGGAUGACGCCUCUUGGGGUGUAAACGUCUUUUGCCGAGGGAGAGAAUGGACGGUACUCGGCGAAUCAGGACCGGCUAACUACGUGCCAGCAG
rnacentral:rRNA from 1 species